rnacentral:lncRNA from 1 species
ACAUGAGCUUUGGCAAAAUUUUCUGCGCCAACAUCGCGGAUCAUGUCCUCUAAUUUGUCUUCAUCCGGUCGAUCUUCUUCCAUGGUGGAAUCAAUAACAUUUUCAGUUUGGGAGUCAGUCGGAAAGUGAUUUUCUUCACCGUGCCAUAUCCAUGUUGUAUAGCAUCUUAGGAAACCAUCACAUAUAAGAUGUUCUCUAAUUCGGGUUGCGUUCAACUUUCUCUCAUUCAAACAGUUCACACAAGGACAUCUAAACUUCACUUCAUCACCACUUGUACCCUCAUUACAUUGUGCAAAUUGUAUAAAUUCCUCUACCCCUCUCUCGUACUCACAACAUUAAUGCGUGGUAAAUUAAUCCAAUUUCGAUCCAUUCCUAAAU